rnacentral:rRNA from 1 species
UACGAAGGGGGCUAGCGUUGCUCGGAAUCACUGGGCGUAAAGCGCACGUAGGCGGCUUACUAAGUCAGGGGUGAAAUCCUGGAGCUCAACUCCAGAACUGCCUUUGAUACUGGUGAGCUUGAGUCCGGAAGAGGUGAGUGGAACUGCGAGUGUAGAGGUGAAAAUUCGUAGAUAUUCGCAAGAACACCAGUGGCGAAGGCGGCUCACUGGUCCGGUACUGACGCUGAGGUGCGAAAGCGUGGGAGCAAACAGG